UACGUAGGGUGCAAGCGUUAUCCGGAAUUAUUGGGCGUAAAGAGCUCGUAGGCGGUUUGUCGCGUCUGCUGUGAAAACCCGAGGCUCAACCUCGGGCCUGCAGUGGGUACGGGCAGACUAGAGUGCGGUAGGGGAGAAUGGAAUUCCUGGUGUAGCGGUGGAAUGCGCAGAUAUCAGGAGGAACACCGAUGGCGAAGGCAGGUCUCUGGGCCAUAACUGACGCUGAGAAGCGAAAGCAUGGGGAGCGAACAGG
rnacentral:rRNA from 1 species